rnacentral:pre_miRNA from 1 species
AGCCUUCUGUAUCCCUUCUGAGAUCUCGUCACACACCAGACCAAAAGGACUGAUGAGACUCCGAAGAUAAGUGAAGCG